rnacentral:rRNA from 1 species
UACGAAGGGGGCUAGCGUUGCUCGGAAUUACUGGGCGUAAAGCGCACGUAGGCGGUCUUUUAAGUCGGGGUGAAAUCCUGGAGCUCAACUCCAGAACUGCCUUCGAUACUGGAAGACUUGAGUCCGGGAGAGGUGAGUGGAACUGCGAGUGUAGAGGUGAAAUUCGUAGAUAUUCGCAAGAACACCAGUGGCGAAGGCGGCUCACUGGCCCGAUACUGACGCUGAGGCACGAAAGCGUGGGAGCAACAGG